rnacentral:tRNA from 1 species
GAGCCAUUAGCUCAGUCGGUAGAGCACUGGACUUUUAAUCCAGGUGUCCCGCGUUCGAAUCGCGGAUGGCUCACCA